rnacentral:piRNA from 1 species
UUGAGUGAGAGAUGGAGGAUUGGGUA